UUGUGUUUCUCUUCACUGUAUUGUUAAUUCCCAGAACGGUGUUUUUGUGUCAGUGAUAUUCACUCAAGAAAUAUUUGAAGAAUGAGGGAACAAAGAGUGAAUGAAUGACCAACUGCCAACUUCAAUGGCCCUUUAGGCUCUCUCUCCCAUACAACCUCUUCUCUGCUGAAGAUGGGCUUCCUUGCUCAGGAGACCGACAAGCUGAAUAAGGACCUCCUGACCUGACUAAUGGCACCAGGAGACAUCUGCACCAGACUGAAAGGACUUCUGAUUUUGAAGCCCAGUCAAAUUCCUAUUUCAAACUAAGCAUCCUACCAGAGAAGAUUGCUGGGAGAUCUCGAAGCAGAGAACGUCAGAUGCAAAAAGGAUGAUGCCAACAGUCCAAACAGAGGGAAGAGCAAAGCCCAGAAGCUUGAAGGCUGGCCAUUCCAGUCUCAGAUUACUUCAGGGCAGAAGAGGGACUUCUGCAGUUGUAUGUGAUGGCCAUUCUCACAUCUCACAUCACAACAGCGAGACAAGACCAUGGUUACGAGCAUAACUAAGCCACUCUGCGGUGAGCCAGGGCCUUUCUGACUACUGAAGCGCUUCAA